GAGAAGAAGUACAGAGUCUUCAAUAUAGUAUUUUGAUUGACAUAUUCAGUUUGUUAAGAAUAAUUUACUAUGAUUAUUUGAGAGUCACAGAAAUUAAGUAUAUAUGUCAUGCAUAACUAAUUGCUACCUUGGCAGAUAAUGACAAUUAGGCACAAGGAAACGAAGUGUGUUGUGUAAUCCUACAAAAAGGACCAGUGUCAGGUAAGAUCAUGAUGCCAUGUUUAAGCUUCCAGUGAUAAAUCCACACUCCACUGGAUAUUAUUUAUGUUUUGACAGCUGGUUGAGUUUGAACCACUGGCUUCUCUAGCUGUCAUUAGUCAGACAGCACCUGAAGUUGACAUCUGCCUCAGUAGCUUUUAGGUCUUUUCCUACCUCCUUUGUAGUCAUGUCUGUCAGUUAAAUGUACUGAAUUAAAGUCUGGUGCAUGCUCUGCCUCCUUUGAGUGGCAGAAGGGUAUCCUUAGUGUGUACCAUAGGCUAUGUAGCAUGAAGACCGCUUUAUUUAAGGAAAUAAAUUGCUUCCAAACAAUCUUUCUCUUUGCUUAGCAAAGUCUAUAAUUAAGAAUAAUAUCAAGUUUUAUUUUUAGAGCGAGAAGAUUAGAAUUUUGUAAGCCUCCAAAAUGCUAAAGAGACAUUUUGAAGAAGGCUUGUAUUAUAAAUUCUGAAGGGGAAAGGCUGAAGGAUAUACGUUGGUCCACCAGCCUUUGCUCCUACGUCUUUGCCUGAAAUCUGUAACAGUCUAGCUAGCAGUAUAUUCCUCGAUGCCAGGAUUGUUUGAUACAGUCGGAGAUUAAAAAAAAAAUUUCUUAAUUGAUAUUGAUUCCUUACCACAUGGAAAGUUUUUGCUACCUUUAUUAUGAUUCAUUAGGUAAUUUGGAAUGAGUGAUGGACCUGCCUACUUUGUCUUAGCACACCACAGAGAAACUUACAUUGGACCAUAAGUUCGAUUGCCAUCACCACAGUGAGAUCAGUCUUUGAAGAAAAUGUAAUAAUAAUGCAGUUAGUGUCCUGACUUUCUCAAGAUAAAGUUAUUUCAGUGUUUCUGUCAGUCCUAGAAACAGAGGAAUGCUUCUGAAACUGGGAGGAAACUUCCAAGGAAGAUCCUCCACUCUAAGGCAGAGUCUUGAAGGUUAUUGACUGUAUGUACUGCCUGCACAUGUUUAGCAAGGUUCAACAGGAAAUGGCAUCAAUUACAACUUUAUUUUUUAUUUUAAUUAAAAUUUAUGAACUUCACAUGUUUCUUAAUGGUCACAGAGGUCUAGCAUUAUAUGGAGUGGGUAUUAUUUCUCCAUUACUGAAGUAAAGCACUCAGUUGUGAUGAUGACAUACUCUGGGAUUACAGUAUCACUGUAUGCUUGCUGUCCCUUGUUGCCCAAUUUAGAUUGCUUAAUUCUGUUUCAAGUACCUGAUUGGCAUCUGUCGACAUGAUGGAUCAAUGAAUACACUUCCAAGUAUUUGACCUAUUUAUAGAAGUUUUGAUAAAGAGAAAAUUGAAUAGAUUCUAUAUUUUGCAUGUAGAAUACUGGAAGAUUCAACAGGACUGUGAAGAUUCAAUUCUAUUUGGCCAAAAGCUAAGAUUUUAUUUAAGUAAUUAAUAUUUCUAAUAAUUCUGAGAAAGAAGAGAGAGGUCAACAUGUAGCUCUGCCAAAUGAAUGAGCAGGAAAUGGGGUCUCUUGCCACAACUACGUCUAAAAUGAUGAGUUCACCAAAUCACUAAUUUUAAAUCAUAUCUUUAAUACCAGUCUUUCCUUACUAUAAUGAGGGUCUGUAAAUAAGGAGAACCAGAAGUUCUAAAACAAUGUGCCAUAACUGCUGGAAUAAGUCUUUCUCCUUUAUGGUUUGUGAAGUUAUAGAUGGUUUUGUUUUCUGAUUCUCAACAUAAAAAUUUCAGUCAUUGAAGGCAUUUACACUGUUUUCAGAUUUUCCUCUCUAUGCGCUGCUAAGAUUAUCUCCUGCUGAGACAACCACCGCACAACAGCCCAACAAGGCUGGAAUGACUGGGCGUGAAUAACUAAAACAACAGCGAUGAUCAGAUUCAUGUCCAGUACACUGACAGGUGAACUCCAGGCAAGUAGGUUUUAACGCAAUGCUACCCAAAAUUCACAUAGCACAUCACAUUGCUGUACUCUGACUUCCCUUGCAAUAGACACAGCGUAUUUGCAGAUUCAGAAAAGCAUUAUUUCAGCUGAUACAAGCUGUAAUAGUUGUCAUCAUCUGAGGAACAGCCCCGGAGCAGUUGUGUUUAUAAACACUGUGUACAUGACAUAAGCCAGAUAGGUAAUCUACUCUUUAUUUUUGCAAAGUAAUAACACACACAUUUCUUUAGCUUUGUCUCAUAUAACAAUGGAAGCAAAUGUGUUUCUGAUUAUGCAACAGAUACUGAGUCAAGGGAUACGCAGCAUUCCCAGACCAUAACCGAUGGAAAUUUUGAAAAACUCUCUUGCCCUCUGCAACCUCAAGUUGAAAUGGUUUGUGUAUUUUGUAUUAGAAUGUGUUGUACAAUAAUUAACUUACUAUAUGAGUCCUAGGGGACAAAUUAUUAAGGUUUUUUUUCCAGAUGACUCAUCUUCUGCUGACUUAAGGGGCAAAUCGGCAGAAACAGAGUUUGUGCUGUUCAGAAAAUAGGAAAACUAAAUGUGGCUGUGUUGCCAUGUGAUACCAGUUCUGGCUGCUGAGGUAAGCUACGAUGCAAAGGGGCUGGAAACUCAUCAGCUGAGGGCAGGGUGCUGCUGAGACCUUGAAAAUGCUCUCAGCAUUUGAGUUAGAGUUAGGACUCUAUGAAUUAAAGCAAAGAACCAGGCAACGAUCCUGCACUAAUCACAGCAGGUAAAGAAUAUGUGCUGGUACAUGAUGAAGAGAAAAAAAUCCUUCAAACUCAGUACCACAAAGCAGCAUUUUGUUAUCUUCUUUUAAUUCCCUCUCUUACUGAAUAAAGCAAGGUGGGAAACAGGGCCAGCUCUGGCAGUAUGACUAGCAGGUGACAGAUUCAGAUGUGGGGGAAAUAGGCAGUUCUUCACAUAUACAGUUAAGCAAGGAAUGUUCUUGUUAUGGAUGCUACAGAUUUCUGAGCUCAGUGAGUGCUGGGCAUCAAGUACUGUUAAAUGCAAAGGAACUUUCUCUGACUGAGGAAGCUCCUGAACCAUAAAUUGCUAGAGAAUGAAAGAAGGAGUACUCUGGGGAGACAUGAUACAAUUGCCUGUUUCUUUAUCCUCUGUAGGCAUCUUUUGCUGUAGAGAGGGCAAGGUGGCCCUGGUUUGAUUUGCUACAGCCGUUCUUAAAUCAAUAGAGCAUUUGGAGGGGAGAAAGCGACUCAGAGUCACCUUCAACAAAGAGGUCAGUGACUUAGUCUUGUCCUGAGUAGAUAGGCUAGGAAUAACAUGCCAAAUCUUUCAUUUAAUAGAUUAUAUGCACAUAAUCAAAUUUCUGAUUUACUGAGCCCAAGCACUAAAAACGAUGUUUGGGUUGGCUUUAUCCUGAUUGUAAGAGGACUGCCCAGCUGAAUCUGGUAGAAAGAGAAGACAGAUGAUAUCUGGCAUAGGUAUAAGUCUGCCAGAAUUAAUUUACCCCUUCUAAAAAUCUUGAGCUAGCCUUUGAACAUUUGAAGAAUGCAGAUUGAAUUAGAGAUUGAAGGAGUGAUCGUGGCAGUUAGUGUUUUGUGUCAUGAGGCUGUACGUUUUUGAUGGCAUUAAAUAGUCUUGACAAAAUAAAAUAUGCAGUGUGACACUGCCUAAAAUGGUAGAUUUUUAGGAAGAUUCCUCUCCUACAGUAGUUUUUCUUGUAAUCUACAAACAGCACAAUUAAAAUUGUCAUUCCUGUCAACAUUUUAGGAUGGAGACUUUGAGAAGGUCAUAAAAGCUAGUGUUUCAUAGCCUUGUGUUUGGAUGUUGGUAGCUAUUUAACCUUUGAAAAUCCCAGGCCUAGAUAAUGCCAUACUGAAAAUGUAAAGUAGCUUUGAUGAAUAAAAAGGGAACUAUGGAAAUAGUUUUCCAGGUAGCGUACUGAAAUUAAGUUCCUCGGGGAGGAACAUCUCUGCUAUGGGAGAAGUGGGGCAAAAUUGCACCAUUUGUCCCCAGAAAUAUAAUUUUCUAGUAACUUGCCUAUCUGCAGUCAAAUUAGGGAGUGCCACAAAGUUAGCACAGAAAAUCAGGUUUGGAGGAUUUGGGUUCAUACUGCUCACACUGGUGAGGUUUGAAAUGAGUCCGUUCCCAACUCUAAGAGACAGAGGGAAGCUCAAGAAUUCCUUGUCCUUUACAACCACAGACUCUUAUUGUAUUAUAUGAAGGAAGACACCCAAGUUGAGAUAUUCCACAGGAUUCUCUUGAUACUAUUUUGAACACCUAAUGUUAGCUUUUGUCUGAGAAACAGAAUCCAAAGAUCCAGAGAAAGCCUUAAACUCUGCCACUUCCAAUUUUAAGUGCCACAAUCCCUGUCUUUUGGAUACUUCCUCUACCAUGAAUUCCCCAGUCCAGAGUUAGAUUCCCAAGCACCUUGCACAGCACAGAGACUGAGACACGUAAGGGUUAUACCAGAUCACCUGACCGGGUACAGGAGAAGCCCAGCAGUAGCCAACCAUAAUACUAAACACAUGGGUUAUGUCUCAGCUCUCACCAUUUGCGAGGAAGAUGCCAUCAUGCUAUGAAGCUGGGGGACCCAGCAUCAUCUGAAGUGCACAGGAGUUUUCUCUGAAAGAAUAGAACAGCAUUCAGCCUUUCAAGUAGCAGCACUGGUCACCUUUUAAAUAAUUCUUGGUGUUGAAAGCUUUCACCCUUGCAGGGAACACUGGCUGGUGCUUUUACUGACCAAAGAGAUUCAACACCUGUGUCCAGUGAGAAAACCAUCAUCACCACACUGAUGGACACCAUCACAAGUUUCACCAGACCAAGCACCAACAUUAAAUGAUGGACGUAAAGGGACCCCCUAUGUAAAAAAUGCUGAGGGAACUAGCAAGGCGAUGGUUAGGCCUCUUCGGUGCUAGAACUUUGGUUGAGGCCUUAGAGCACAACUACAGUGUAAGUAAUACUGUUUACUGAUAAUAAGCUUGUAAUUAUGGCUUUGGAAUUUGAGCUGGCACACACCGAUCAGCCUGAGUUAUUUUGCAUAGUCAAACAGUCCCAUCAAAGCCAACAGGCCUGUUCACGCCAACUACUCGUAUUAUUGCAGUACUAAUUCCCAAUUUUACAAAUAAAGUUUCUUAUUCUACUCGACAAAAGCCUACUUAACCACAAAUUGAGACUCAGAAGUAUAAAGAUGAGACUAAGCAGUAUAAAGAUGUGAAAUAACACUUUUGGCACAGGGCGUAUGUAACAGCAUUUGACACAAACCAGGGGGGUCAGCUGAGAUGGAGUUUUGCAUUACAAACUCAAACUCUCAGUGUGUCUCAGCUGUGACUUCAUUCCUUCCUGGGAUGUGAGAGUGGUGGCUGCAGGCUGCCGGCAUUGUAGGCAGGCUUCACAGUGUUCUGCUAAAAUGAGGAGCUAAACUAUGAGAACUGCUGUGACCCUGGUUUCUAUGCAGGAGCAAAACAUGUCAGCCCAGCUGUCAGCGAAGAGCAUCAGGAAAGCAAGAGAGAAAACUCUUCAAAUGGAAACAUAAGUAAACAGCCAAUAAAAUGAGACAAUUGUAACAUCUAUCUUAAAAAAAUUAUCCAAGUGCAAAGUGUAAUUUAAUUACAAAUGCCAAUAAAAAUAAUUGUAACUUCCUUGGGACUGCUUAGAACAAGCAAUCUGUUAAGAACAGGCUCGACCUCCGUGCUGCAGGAGUUGGCUUUCACUCUUUUGAAUAUGAUAUAUCAAGAAAAUCUUAAAAUAGGAAAGAAAAUGUGUUUGAAAUUUUUAGGCAAAUUGAAACUUAUUUUCAAAGGAAAAAAGAAAAAUGACAUUGAUGUAAAAAUGAUGGGAAAUCUAAACUCAGUGCUGACGGGUGCAUGCCAACUUGUUUGUUCAAUAUAUAAAUGUUGCAGUGAGUAUUAAAACAAUACAUCUUAUGCUUUACAUACCUAUAGCUAUCCUACUGUGUUUAGCUAUGCUUGGGCUUUAGACGCUUCUGUGUUAUUUAAUACCAAGUGACAGCUCUGACAUUUUCACUUAGUGUUUCUAUUUUUAAAGGCAGACUUUUCAUUUUCAACUAGAGAAUAUUAUUUAAACACUUCAUUUAAAAACAUGUAUUUUAGUAUUUUUUCUCAUCAACUUAUAGAUGUUGAGAAAGGAAUGCUCUUUAAUAAGUUACGUGUUAAUUUUCAACUUAAAAAUAAUGGAAAUGAGAGAGCUAUUAACAUUUUAUUUAUUGAACCUUGUAUAUAGAUGAUAAUGUUUGUGAAUAAGAUGAUAAUGAUAUAUAAAAGGUACAAUGGUACACAGAGUUUUGAAAACUAUUUUGUGUUCAGAAUAAAUAGACAUUACCAUAAUUAGUUUCUCUGUGGAAGUCUACAUGCCAGUACCCUGGCACAGAAUCCAUCUGAAAGGAGUACUUCUUUUUGGAAAUUAAGUUUGUGAUUUCCCUGAUCCUGAAAAAAACGUGCUCAUGAGCUUUCUCUUGGAGUCAUCCCAGACUGUGGUGAAAACUGGAGGUAUUUGGUGCACUAUAGUAAGUAAGUGCAAGGAUAUUCUCAGGAUCAGAAUCCACAAAUGGUCAUAUCGGGACACAAACCCACCAGUUUGGCAUUAUCCAAACAAAGUCAUGACACUGCACUGCCUUUUCAGUGCACCCAUGGAAACAGAAUUUGAAAGCGUGAAUGUAGAUUUGUUUGUGACAAAUACAUCUCUCUCAUAUUUCAUAUUCCAGUACUGAUUUUUUUGUUACUGGCACUAUUUGAAAUUGUACCUAAGAAAUUCAGUUUGAAUGAACUUGCAAAGCAAGGAGCUGCUACCAUGACAGUGCAAACAGUUCCAUGAUGUCAGUUAAUGUCAUCUGGCUAAUAAUGGCAUUGCAAAGCCCGCAAUCACUUAUGACCUUGUCCACUGAAAAAAGAAGAUAAGAGUACUAAAACAGAACUGCAGAUAUCUGUGAGAAAGUAAACAAAAAGCCAGAAAUAGAAAAGCAUAGGUAUGAGAUUGACAAAUGUUAAACUACUAAGGUGGCGAGAGAGCAGACUAGGAGGGAAGGUUACAGUGACAAAGUGAGGUCUCGUUGAGGACAAAUGAUGUUGUAGAGGUGUAAACAUUUUAUUUCAUGUUCAUAAAAGUUCCAGGUUCUGAGAUUUUUCCCUGUGUUAAUUGAGGUAGAUCAUUCCUUAAAGACUUUAACUUUUUAUUUACCUGCUGUAUGAAGCCAAAAGGUACAAUUACAAAGAUCUGGUCACAAUUGUUUUUAUAAGCCUAGAUAGUUAACUUUUCCACCUCUGACCUGCUUUGUCUCCAGUAUACCUUUGCAUGGAAUUUGGUGAGACAGCAUGACUUUUAGCUGUGGCAUUAUUUCCACCUUUUCUCUACAUAGCACACAUCCACAACCCUUCAGUGAUUACAUUCUACCAAAACAGAGAUAAAUCUCUCAUUCUCUGCGUUCAUCUUUCUGGUUCUUAAAGGAGUGACCAGGUAAGGUAGUCCUUAUAGAGUCCAUCUUGUCCUUUUCUUUUUGACCUUGCAAGUGAAUUUUCUUUCCCCAGGGAAAUUUAGAGGCAGUGGACUGGCCAGAGACUCUCACGUAUAUGAUUUAAAAAGAAGACACAUCUCUGCAGAGUCUGUGGCUCAGGAGUACUGAAGGCAAGUAACUUAACAAUUGCUUCAAAUCAAGUCCAAGCAACUUCUGUCCAUUCACAGCUCCUUUCGCCUUCUCUUCUUCCUCCAAUAAAAGAUAAAAAUCUGUCUGGGGUACCCUACCAGGUUUUGCUUCCUUGUCUUGUGCAUGAGAUUAACAACAGAUUCCUACUUUGCAAUUUAAUAGUCUCUGUAUUAAAAUGUGAUCUGCAUGGCUCAUGUCACAAUAUUGUUAGAGUAGUAUCUAUUUAAGUUUAUCAAGAUCUACUUCACUGACAUAUGAUAAACAUUCAUUAAUAUUUUUAUAAGUACUUGAUUUUUUCCUGAAACUACUAUAAUAAACGAAAUACACUAAUAAAUAAUAACAUAAUAAUUACAUUAUUAUUAUUAUUGUGUGCAACAGGUAGAUGCAUUUGUAUGCUGUAUACACACACUCACUCUAUCACAUGGACUACGAUAACUAUACCUGAAAUUUUGUAACCAAGGACCCCAGAAUUACACCUAUCAAAACAAAAUUCAUUGUAAGACGGGCUAGAAAUGCCAGUCUAAGCCUUCAUGGUUUUAAUGAGAUGACUCUUUCUUACCACCGUUAAGUCUGUGAGGAUGAAAGAAAAUGUUCAUUGAUUUAAGAUGUGCUAAGAAAAGUGUAUAGAAGGGCAUAAAUGGCUCAGGAAUUCCACUGGCUUAAACAGUCUUUUAUUAAAAGCAAGCAUUCCUGUAGUUGAAUGACUUCCAGGAAGGGCCUCAAGUGAUGAAAGUAUUUCCAUCCAAUGUGAAAACACUUGAAAGAUGCUUAUUCGAUGUGAAAAUACUUUCACCUUUCAGAAAAGCUUGAAUACAAGACUCUUUGAUGAAUACAUUCUCAUACAAAUAUUAACUUUCAGAUUUAAUACACAAAACAUCCAGAAUUCCUACUCUUUUAAUAAUUAAUACAAGUGUUAAUUUUCAGAUUUAAUAUACAAAAUAUCCAGAAUUCCUACUUUUUUAAUAAUUAAUAGGUUAUAGUGACUUUCAUCUCCUAUAGCAGCCAGACAAGAUAUUUCAGAGUAUUUUACAAAAUAGGUACUUAAGGUAGGUAGUGGAAAAAUUUUACAUUAAUUGUCAUGACAUUGCUCCUGUUUCCCACAGGGCAUAACUGACCUGGAAAGUGCUGUAGAACAUCUUCGAAGAAGAAGGAAUGGGAUCUCCUUCAAGCAAAUCACAGCACAGGAGUCAGCCGUGCUGGCUAACUGUGAAAUACAGACGUGCCCUACAUACCAUAUAUCAUCCUACCCAACCUUCUUACCUAAAACACCAAUAACAGCAUCUCCUGUUCUCACCUAAAACCAUACAAGUGCAGAGACCAGAAACACUGUGAAAUGGGCAGCUAUUCCAGAAGUAUUUCACCUACCAGGACUGUCUCUUUUUACUGUUUCUGGUUUUAUCCUUUCUUUUCAUUUCCGUAAGCUGUCAGAUACAAAGUAGGAGGUAAGCCAGUAUCACGUUCCCAAACAGCUCCUUUUCAGAUCAUGGUAACAUUUUCUCUGUACCUCAACCACUCCCUGCUCUGGGAGCUACCGCUCUUGUAAAAUGCAAUUAAGGGCAAGACUGGAAAGCAAUCAUGAAAUAAGCCAUGACCAGUGACACGUCCAUCCCCAUUGCACCCUCCUCCCUGCCCCCGCAGAUUCUUACACCAGAAUGGAGCAAGCAGUGGAUUGGUAUGACUCUUAUAGCUGAUGCCGGUCUCUUGGGUAACUUUCUAGGGAGCUGCCAGCCCCUGGGGUACAGUGGUAAUCAUAAGACUGAGUGCUGACUGCCAGUAACCUGCAAUUUUUGGAAGCCUGUUCCAUCUCUUGUGCAAUCAGGAAACACAAACCUGCAUGAGACCAGCAAAGUACUGAUAAUCUUCAGCCAGUCAAAUAACACGAGUUCACCUUAGAGUCAUGGUGUGGUUUUUUCUUCUUCAUAUUUUAUGAUUUUUAGGUGUUCAAUUAUCAAGCUACUAAACAUGACUGAAAAGCUGAGGAUCAUUUUUCAUCUCAUGUACAACGGUGAGAAAUGUGCAUGUUACGUGUGUCAUUGGUAUUUUUACCAAUGUAAAGUGUCACUGGUAUUUUUACGUUCUGAUGUUAAUCCCUUUUAAAUGCAGUCCUGUAAACGAGGAUUUUCCAAUGAGAGUAUUUUUAUACUACAAGAGACUUGCAUAGCUGCCACACAGGGAAAACUCUUGUCUGGAUAUGCAGCUUUCUUGAGCAAGCCACCAAGUAAUGUCUGAACUAAGUAAUAACGAAGGCAAAGGAUGCACUAUCGAAAAGAGUGAGCACAUUUUAAUUAAGUUCCUAUUGUGAGAAGUAAUUUAACCUGACUUUAAAAUGUAAUAACAGCAGACAUUAGACAUCAG